rnacentral:rRNA from 1 species
GACGAACGCUGGCGGCGUGCUUAACACAUGCAAGUCGAACGAAGUGGCGAACGGGUGAGUAACGCGUAAUCAACCUGCCCUUCAGAGGGGGACAACAGUUGGAAACGACUGCUAAUACCGCAUACUGCCGGAGGGGCUUGCGUCUGAUUAGCUAGUUGGAGGGGUAACGGCCCACCAAGGCGAUGAUCAGUAGCCGGGUUGGGAGGAUGAACGGCCCAAAUUGGACUGAGGCACGGCACAGACGCCUACGGGAGGCAGGAGGUGGGAAUCGUCCGAAAAUGAAGGAAGUCUGAAUGAGCAACGCCGGGGGAGUGAUGACGGCCUUCGGGUUGUAAAGCUCUGUUAAGCGGGACGCGGUACCGGAAUAGAAAGCCACGGCUAACUACGUGCCAGCAGCCGCGGUAAUAC